ACGGGAGGCAGCAGUGAGGAAUAUUGGUCAAUCGGCGGAAGCCUGAACCAGCCAUGUCGCGUGCAGGACUACGGCCCUACGGGCCUUAAACUGCUUUUGCAAGGGGAUAAAGUGGGGCACGCGUGCCCCUUUGCAGGUACCUUGCGAAUAAGGAUCGGCUAACUCCGUGCCAGCAGCCGCGGUAAUACUGAUGAUCCGUGCGUUAUCCGGAUUUAUUGGGUUUAAAGGGUGCGUAGGCGGGCUGUUAAGUCAGCGGUGAAGCCCCCGGGCUCAGCCCGGGGACUGCCAUUGAAACUGGCGGCCUUGAGUACGUUGGGAGUGCGCGGAAUUGGUGGUGUGGCGGCGAAAUGCAUAGAUAUCACACAGAACACCGUUCGCGUAGGCAGCGCACUACGCCGCAACUGACGCUGAGGCACGAAGGCGCGGGGAUCGAACAGGAUUAGAUACCCUGGUA
rnacentral:rRNA from 1 species